GGCCCAUAGGUUGGGUCGUGACAUGAUGCAUCAAUUUCAAGAAUUGUUAAAUAUUUUACAAGGGAUGCUUUGCACGCGGAAUAAUAUAUAUGAACGAAGGAAUUUAUUAAGAGUUGGCUGUACAUUUUCUAGAUAGUCUCAUUAAUUUCAUGGCAAAAGACCACAUGCCAUACACUCUCUUUUUCAAAUCACAUGCUAAAUGUUGAUAUCCCAUCAUGUUGUUCUUUUCAAAAGAUGCUUUUAUGGAGUGUGUG
rnacentral:misc_RNA from 1 species